rnacentral:lncRNA from 1 species
GUCUUCUCAAAUACACUUUUUGACAAACCCUAGAUCAGUACGCCAGUUCUUCUUCUUCAUUAUUCGUCGCUGAUAUAUAAUCCAAAACUGAAAAAACUGAUCGGUUGCAUCAGGUAUGUUGGGAAGAAGAUAGAUAUGGCAACGAAUGAUGGCGAAGAGAUAAGCUGUGAUGGGUUGGGUUGCAUCAGCCUCCUUCGAAGUCAACAACAGUAAUUCAAGUUGCAAUACUUGCUGGUCAACGUGAUACGCCUCCUUUAGAGUCAACAGCAGCAGCCGGAGUUACAACUUCUGUAGGUUAACAUGGAACUUCUGCACUGUCUUAAUGCUCAAUAGGGUCAACGUCAAAUCAAAGGUUACGAUAGUCGAUUGAAGUUGUGCAGUCAAAAAAUAGAGAUUACAAAAGAUUACCCUUACAGGUAAUAGUGAUCUAUAAUUUGUAGCAAAAUAAGUUUACAUGUUAAGAUCAAGAUGGGAAGGAAAAACUUCCGAUUAAAAGGUCAAGAAGAAGCCUCGGCAGUUUAAAUAUGAUUACUGGCAAGAAUAAUGAACUGAACAAAGCAGGUGCAUCUGCUAACGGAGCUUAUCCCAAAAGGUCUAAAAAAUAUGAGGAAAGAGUUGCAGAUUAAGAUGGCUAAACUAUCUGAUACCCAAUGUUAAACAUGGUCAAUUCACUGGUGAUGAAGACAAGAUGAUCUGCAGUUUGUAUGCUAAUUUUGGUAGCAGGUUCAGAUGGCUUUGAAUUCGGGUUGGUUUUGGGUUGCAGUAUGCAACCAUGCCGAAGCUCCACCAUGUGGAUGUAAUUAAAAAGAAUUAUUUUAGGCUGCUCUUUGUUCUACACAGCUUGAUCAUGUUUAUUGAAAGUUGGUGCCUUUGCAGUUCUACAUAGCUUGAUCAUUGUUCUACACGACUCUUCGUCAAUCCUAACGUGUACCCUCAAAAUCUAACAUCUGAAACCGGGGACCCCAAAACAAUCGGCCAAACAGUGAUGAUGAUGGUUAUGAAUGCAAACGGCAGCGGUAUCAAGGAGUUGUAGCGGCGACCGUCUAGGGGUUAAGCGUGUGGAGACACUGAUGACUGUAUUUCAACUUCUGAGGCUGAAGAAAUGACCGUAAAACUUGAGGAAUAUUAGAUUAAAAAUCUACCUAGACCUGGACAAGUGAAUUUUUAUCAAUGGAGGCCCCUAUAUGCUAGGUACUCAUUUCUUAUACAAAGCUCUCUUAACUUAUUAGAACUCAUAUACAAAUUAGGGGUGUUAAAUGGGUCAUGUUCAUGAUUUGACUUAUCAAAACCAACACGACAUGAACCCGUGAAAAUCGUUCUAAAGAUGACAUUCUUGUAUCUAAUGAAUGCCUCACAUAUGACCAAUAUGCAACAGUUAGCCAAAUUCAUAGAUAUUCAACAACUCUCCUACGGUUUCUUAAUAAUAUAUUGGACAAAUGCAGUGUAAUAUUGUAAAAGAAUUAUAACCUGAAUUUAGAGAGAAAUAAUAUUGUCUCAUAGUAUAUAAGUUAUAUUCUAACAAAGUUACGAAUUGCAAAAAAUUAUGUAGUAACUCUUACAUAAAGUUUACUAAUGCUUUAGCUUCAUUAGUGUUUGUUUAUAUUGAUUGAAUUGUUUCGGAGGUAAUGUGCUUUUUUACCCUUUUCAAAAUCUUUGACAAAUACUUAGUGAGUUAUUAUAACUACAAAAACAAUAUUAUUAACUUUCGAUAUGUUUUUUAUCGAAAAGUUUAUAGAUACUUAUAAUAUUUUGAAUUUUCGAACAACAAUUUUUUUCCACCUAAAUAUGACAUAACCUUGAAUCUUUAUGAUUGUUGCAUUUUCAUGGGACGUUGGGUGCAUUCCGCGUGAAAGAAGAUGACAAACGGUGUGACUCCUUUGUUGGUGCUCUCCUAAUAACGAUUGUUGACGACCAAUCCAUUAAUAGAGGUACUUGACACCUUUGCAGAGAUCCAAGACAGUCAUAUUGUCGUAAGAGAAGUGGAAAGGAAGCUUCUUGAGUUGCAACAAGUGUGUAUAUGUGUAUAUAAAAGGAUAAUGUUAACAGAAUACUUUAUUUAAUCCAUGAUUAUAAGUAUGUAUUAAUCAUAAAUAGUUUUUAACAAAACUAACUUUCACAAGGUAAACUAAUAAUAGAAACUUUUGUGGGUCCAAGUUAGAGACUAAAUGUGUCUAAGUAUGGUGUUUUACGUGUUGUAGCUUUGUAAAGAAUUGAGAAGAGGGCAUGUU